rnacentral:rRNA from 1 species
AUUGAACGCUGGCGGCAGGCCUAACACAUGCAAGUCGAGCGAGCGGCGGACGGGUGAGUAAUGUAUGGGGACUGCCCGAUAGAGGGGGAUAACUACUGGAAACGGUGGCUAAUACCGCAUACUAUCGGAUAACCCAUAUGGGAUUAGCUAGUGGGUGGGGUAAAGGCUCACCUAGGCGACGAUGUCUAGCUGGUCUGAGAGGAUGAUUAGCCACACUGGGACGGAGAAAAGGCCCAGACUCCUGCGGAGGCAGCAGUGGCGAAUAUGGCACAAUGGGCGCAAGCCUGAUAGAGCCAGGCCGAGUGGAUGAAGAAGGCCUUAUGGUUGUAAAGUAAUUUCAGCGGGGAGGCGUUGCCCGCAGUAGAAGCACAGGCUAACUCCGAUCCAGCAGCCGCGGUAAUAC